GUCUUUUUGAUUAUAAUUUAAAGUCUAACCUGCUCUAUGAUAUAAAUUAAAUGGCCGCGAUAUUUUGAUCGUGCAAAGGUAGCAUAAUCAUUAGUUUUUUAAUUAGGAACUGGAAUGAAGGGUUGAACGAGAAAAAAACUGUCUCAAUUUAUUUAAUUAGAAUUUUAUAUUUAAGUUAAAAAGCUUAAAUUUUUUUAAAAGACGAGAAGACCCUAUAGAGUUUUAUAUUAAAAAAUUUUUAAAAGUAAUUUAGAAUCAUUUUUUUUAUAGUUUAAUUAGUAUUUGGUUGGGGUGAUUAAAAAAUUUAUUUAACUUUUUUUAUUUUAUUUCAUUGAUUUAUGUUUAAUUGAUCCAUAUUUUAUGAUUAAAAGAUUAAAUUACCUUAGGGAUAACAGCGUUAUUUUUUUUAGAGUUCUUAUCGAAAAAAAAGAUUGCGACCUCGAUGUUGGAUUAAAAUUUAUUUUUGGUGUAGGUGCUAAAAUAGGUGGGUCUGUUCGACCUUUAAAAUUUUACA
rnacentral:rRNA from 1 species